rnacentral:rRNA from 1 species
AACUGCGAGUGAAGCGGGAAAAGCUCAAAUUUAAAAUCUGGUGGUCUCUGAUCAUCCGAGUUGUAAUCUAGAGAAGUGUUACCCGCGUCGGACCGUGUAUAAGUCUCCUGGAAUGGAGCGUCAUAGAGGGUGAGAAUCCCGUCUUUGACACGGACUACCGAGGCUUUGUGGUAUGCUCUCAAAGAGUCGAGUUGUUUGGGAAUGCAGCUCAAAAUGGGUGGUAAAUUCCAUCUAAAGCUAAAUAUUGGCGAGAGACCGAUAGCGAACAAGUACCGUGAGGGAAAGAUGAAAAGAACUUUGGAAAGAGAGUUAAACAGUACGUGAAAUUGCUGAAAGGGAAACGCUUGAAGUCAGUCGCGUUGGCCGGGAAUCAGCCUUGCUUUUGCUUGGUGUACUUUCUGGUUGACGGGCCAGCAUCAGUUUUGACCGGUGGAAAAAGUUCAGGGGAAUGUGGCAUCUUCGGGUGUGUUAUAGCCCUUGUUCGUAUACAUCGGUUGGGACUGAGGAACUCAGCACGCCGCAAGGCCGGGUCUUUGACCACGUUCGUGCUUAGGAUGCUGGCAUAAUGGCUUUAAUCGACCCGUCUUGAAACACGGACCAAGGAGUCUAACAUGCCUGCGAGUGUUUGGGUGGAAAACCCGAGCGCGUAAUGAAAGUGAAAGUUGAGAUCCCUGUCAUGGGGAGCAUCGACGCCCGGACCUGACGUUUUCUGACGGCCCUGCGGUAGAGCAUGUAUGUUGGGACCCGAAAGAUGGUGAACUAUGCCUGAAUAGGGUGAAGCCAGAGGAAACUCUGGUGGAGGCUCGUAGCGAUUCUGACGUGCAAAUCGAUCGUCAAAUUUGGGUAUAGGG